GAUGAACGCUGGCGGCGUGCCUAACACAUGCAAGUCGAGCGGCAGCGAGGGGUGCUUGCACCCUGUCGGCGAGCGGCGGACGGCUGAGUAACGCGUGGGAACGUGCCCCAAAGUGAGGAAUAACUGCCCGAAAGGGUAGCUAAUACCGCAUAUUAUCUUCGAAUCAAAGGAUUUAUCCGCUUUGGGAGCGGCUCGCGUCGGAUUAGGUAGUUGGUGAGGUAAUGGCUCACCAAGCCGACGAUCCGUAGCUGGUCUGAGAGGAUGACCAGCCAGACUGGAACUGAGACACGGUCCAGACUCCUACGGGAGGCAGCAGUGAGGAAUCUUCCACAAUGGGCGAAAGCCUGAUGGAGCAACGCCGCGUGCAGGACGAAGGCCUUCGGGUUGUAAACUGCUUUUAUAAGUGAGGAAUAUGACGGUAACUUAUGAAUAAGGAUCGGCUAACUACGUG
rnacentral:rRNA from 1 species